GGAGGGGUGGCAGAGCGGUUGAAUGCGGCGGUCUCGAAAACCGUUAUGGCUGCAAAGUCAUCGAGGGUUCGAAUCCCUCCUCCUCCG
rnacentral:tRNA from 1 species